rnacentral:rRNA from 1 species
AGCGAACGCUGGCGGCAGGCUUAACACAUGCAAGUCGAGCGGGCCUUCUUGUUGUGUCAGCGGCAGACGGGUGAGUAACGCGUGGGAACGUGCCCUUCGGUUCGGAAUUAAUCAGGGAAAAUUUAGCUAAUACCGGAUAUGCCCCUUUGGGGAAAGGUUUACUGCCGAAGGAUCGGCCCGCGUCUGAUUAGCUAGUUGGUGAGGUUAUGGCUCACCGAGGCGACGAUCAGUAGCUGGUCUGAGAGGAUGAUCAGCCACACUGGGACUGAGACACGGCCCAGACUCCUACGGGAGGCAGCAGUGGGGAAUAUUGGACAAUGGGGGCAACCCUGAUCCAGCCAUGCCGCGUGAGUGAUGACGGCCUUAGGGUUGUAAAGCUCUUUUCUCCGGGACGAUAAUGACGGUACCGGAGGAAUAAGCCCCGGCUAACUUCGUG